AAAAUACGAAAAGUAAUAUGAAUUGCAGAAACGAAUCAUCAACUAUUUGAACGCACAUUGCGCUCUUUGGGUUAAAAAACCAAGAGCAUGUCUAUUUGAGUAUCAUUAACUUAUUAAAUUCAAUCAAUUACUGAUUUGAGUUUUGAUCUUUUAAUAAUUGCUUUCGAAAUUGUCUUGUCCCCUUUAUAUCUCUCUCCCCAACUCUUAUCGAUAAGCUUUUAUUAACUUACAAAGAUUGCAACUCUAAAUAAUAAAAAACAGUUUGGCUUUUUAUUAUAUAUUGUAUAUGAAAAAAAGUGGUAUUGGAAAAUAUAAAAACUUUUUGGAAUGUAUGUAUUAUAUAAUAUUGGAUUCUUUUAGAAACCAAGAAAAGAAAAGGCCAUAACUUGUAUUUUCUUCCAUUCUAUUUUAUACUUUAUGAUCUCAAAUUAGACAAGAUUACCCGCUGAACUUAAGCAUAUCAAUAAGCGGAGGACUGACUC
rnacentral:misc_RNA from 1 species